UAAUACAAAGGGGGCGAGCGUUGUUCGGAAUUACUGGGCGUAAAGGGCGCGUAGGUGGCCUGUUAAGUCGAACGUGAAAUCCCCGGGCUCAACCCGGGAACUGCGUCCGAGACUGGCAGGCUUGAAUCCGGGAGAGGGAUGUGGAAUUCCAGGUGUAGCGGUGAAAUGCGUAGAUAUCUGGAGGAACACCGGUGGCGAAGGCGGCAUCCUGGACCGGUAUUGACGCUGAGGCGCGAAAGCCAGGGGAGCAAACGGGAUUAGAUACCCCGGUAGUCCUGGCCCUAAACGAUGAAUGCUUGGUGUGGCGGGUAUCGAUCCCUGCCGUGCCGAAGCUAACGCAUUAAGCAUUCCGCCUGGGGAGUACGGUCGCAAGGCU
rnacentral:rRNA from 1 species